rnacentral:rRNA from 1 species
UACGGAGGGCGCAAGCGUUGUUCGGAAUCAUUGGGCGUAAAGCGCGCGUAGGCGGCUUUGUAAGUUAGAGGUGAAAGCCCGGAGCUCAACUCCGGAAUUGCCUUUAAGACUGCAUCGCUAGAAUCAUGGAGAGGUGAGUGGAAUUCCGAGUGUAGAGGUGAAAUUCGUAGAUAUUCGGAAGAACACCAGUGGCGAAGGCGGCUUACUGGUCCGGUUCUGACGCUGAGGCGCGAAAGCGUGGGGAGCAAACAGG